rnacentral:rRNA from 1 species
CCUACGGGAGACUGCAGUCGGGAAUAUUGCUCAAUGGGGGAAACCCUGAAGCAGCAACGCCGCGUGGAGGAUGAAGGUUUUCGGAUUGUAAACUCCUUUUGUUAGAGAAGAUAAUGACGGUAUCUAACGAAUAAGCACCAGCUAACUCCGUGCCAGCAGCCGCGGUAAUACGGAGGGUGCAAGCGUUACUCGGAAUCACUGGGCGUAAAGAGCGCGUAGGCGGGAUAGCAAGUCAGAUGUGAAAUCCUAUGGCUUAACCAUAGAACUGCAUUUGAAACUGUGAUUCUAGAGUAUUGGAGAGGUAGGUGGAAUUCUUGGUGUAGGGGUAAAAUCCGUAGAGAUCAAGAGGAAUACUCAUUGCGAAGGCGACCUGCUAGACAAUAACUGACGCUGAUGCGCGAAAGCGUGGGGAGCAAACAGGAUUAGAUACCCGGGUAGUC